CCUCCUUCCCUUCAUGUUAUCAGCUACUGCAGUUAUACUAUUAACUCUGUGCCAUCACAUACAAAUCCCUCUGCUACCUCUUGUCUCAUCUCCCCAGUUUAACCUCUAGAUUGUAAGUUCAUAGGCAGGGCCCUCUACCUGUUGUAUUGGCCUUUUCUUAUGGUGUUGUCUUUCCCAAUUGUACAGCGCUGCGGAAUAGGUUGGCGCUUUAUAAAUGCCUGUAAUAUAGUUAAUGUCCCAAAUAUAUUUAAUUUGCUUCUGCUAACUUCUUCAUAUGUAUAUAAAC